AACGAACGCUGGCGGCAUGCCUAACACAUGCAAGUCGAACGAAGGCUUCGGCCUUAGUGGCGCACGGGUGCGUAACGCGUGGGAACCUGCCCCUCGGUUCGGAAUAACAGUUAGAAAUGACUGCUAAUACCGGAUGAUGACUUCGGUCCAAAGGUUUAUCGCCGAGGGAUGGGCCCGCGUAGGAUUAGCUAGUUGGGGAGGUAAUGGCUCACCAAGGCGACGAUCCUUAGCUGGUCUGAGAGGAUGAUCAGCCACACUGGGACUGAGACACGGCCCAGACUCCUACGGGAGGCAGCAGUGGGGAAUAUUGGACAAUGGGCGCAAGCCUGAUCCAGCCAUGCCGCGUGAGUGAUGAAGGCCCUAGGGUUGUAAAGCUCUUUCACCGGUGAAGAUAAUGACGGUAACCGGAGAAGAAGCCCCGGCUAACUUCGUGCCAGCCGCCGCCGUAAUAC
rnacentral:rRNA from 1 species